CCUAAAACAAAAACAUUUAUUGUUAUGGACAUCACAGACAACACAUGACAUAUGUACAGUUUAUUAGAAAAAGAGCGGGAAAGGCGAUAGUUUUGACAGUUAGGUAGCAUGCCAACAUAAGGAGAAAAAUAAGAAAUGGACAAUAGAUAUAAGAUGACAAGUAUUAUAGAAAGAGUAGAGAAAGUAAAGCCGUUAAAGUUUUAUAUUAUUUUCUUGAAUGUGUUUAAGAAUAAUUCCAGUGAUGGGAGGAUCCAUGAGAACCAGAAGCGUUUGAAAAUUGAUAGGCCGCGGAAUAUUUUUCGGUAAGAUAUCAUAUAAAGAGUGGUUAAGUCUGUUGCAAGAAAAGAAAAUGUGUUCCGUCGUUCCUUCGUCAAGACCGCACUCGCAUAAAGAGCUAUCCCGCACCCUAAUUUUUGCAAGGAAUACAGGAGUGCAGACGUGACCCAAACGAAGCCGGCAAAGUGUAGACGUGGCCCAUUUACAUGCAGAGCGAAAACGGAAGAACCAUGGUUUAUGAGUUUCAGGAUGAAAGGGGAAAUAAUUUUCAUUUUGAGCUGGUUACCAGAUACGGCUUGGAGGCAGCUUUUGGCAUCAGAGAAAAUGAUAACUUUGGGGAUUUUGUGAGACUCGACGUAUGCAACUGCUUCCAUUAAGGCGAUUGAUUCCCCAGUGAAGACGGAGGACUGUGAAGGGCAUUUAUAAGAUAAAAGAAUGCGGUAUCUAGGGAUCCAGAUUGCUGCUCCUACACAGCUAUUGGGGUUCAAUUUUGAUGCAUCUGUGUAGAUUGAUACCAAAGAUGAGAGAGCCUGUAAGCGAGGAAUGAGGGGGUG